rnacentral:rRNA from 1 species
GUGGGGAAUAUUGCACAAUGGGGGAAACCCUGAUGCAGCAACGCCGCGUGAGUGAUGACGGCCUUCGGGUUGUAAAGCUCUGUCUUCAGGGACGAUAAUGACGGUACCUGAGGAGGAAGCCACGGCUAACUACGUGCCAGCAGCCGCGGUAAUACGUAGGUGGCAAGCGUUGUCCGGAUUUACUGGGCGUAAAGGGAGCGUAGGCGGACUUUUAAGUGAGAUGUGAAAUACCCGGGCUUAACCUGGGUGCUGCAUUUCAAACUGGAAGUCUAGAGUGCAGGAGAGGAGAAUGGAAUUCCUAGUGUAGCGGUGAAAUGCGUAGAGAUUAGGAAGAACACCAGUGGCGAAGGCGACUUACUGGACUGUAACUGACACUGAGGCAUGAAAGCGUGGGGAGCAAACAGGAUUAGAUACCCCGGUAGUCC